AGCAUAGCCAAACCCUGUCUGCACAAAAAUGUAAAAUAAAAUUAGCCAGGUAUGGUGGAGGAUGAGUCCUAGCUACUUAGGAGGCUGAGGUGUGUGGAUCACUUGAGCCAGGAGUUCAAGGCUGCAGUGAGUCAUGACAGGACAGAGGGAGACCUGUCUACUGUCUGUCCCUAUAGAAAAAGAAAAAAUCUCCUGGUGUCUUUUCCUGAAUUUGGCAGACAGGAUGGCCAGAGGAAAUGCAUCAAUGCAGAGGGACAGAAACAGCAGUGUGGCCUGGGAAAGGUUUUAAAGUUAGCUGGCCGGGUGCAGUGGCUCAUGCCUGUAAUCCCAGUGCUUUGGGAGUCCAAGGCGGGCAGAUCAACUGACGUCAGGGGUUCGAGACCAGCCUGAGCAACAUGGACAAACCCCGUCUCUACUAAAAAUAAAGAAAAAAUUAGCCUGGUGUGGUGGUGCAUGCCUGUAAUCCCAGCUACUCAGGAGGCUGAGAUACAGGAGUCAGAGCUGCCACAGACAGCGAGUUACAGCACUUUGCAGGGGACAGCUCAUGGACCCAGGACUGGAGCCCAGAAUGACAAGGGUUCUGGAAGGUAACAGGGAAAAUGGCAGUGGGGUGGGCAGCAUGCCUGCCCCUGAGUCAUUCCCAGGCCUAGGUGUGUGUCUACAGGAUGGACUGUCAGGGGAGGAUAGGGUGCAUUGUAAGGUUGGGGGAGGAGGCAGGACCUCAGGGCAAACUCCUCUGACCUACAAGGCCCAGGC
rnacentral:lncRNA from 10 species